CCCCCUUCUCCCCUCCGCCAGCCCCCCCCAGGCUGUGCGUGUGCAUCCCCCCCGCAGCCUGACCCCCCAGCCCUGCCUGACCCCCGGGGGGGUGGCGAGGAGGAGGAGGAGGGGGGUGCGCAGGCACUCGUGCAGGCGCAGCCCUUUCGCAUCAAGAGAUUGGCUAUAAGGAGAAGGCUGACGGCUGCAGCAUGAAGCGCAUUAUUACCUUGUGAUUCCAUGACCCUCCUCUAUGCAUCCCUAACUCUCGAAAGCUGAUUCAGCUUUCAGCUAGUGCUCUGGUGAGUCCUCUGCUGCAACAGAAGCUCCUAACUGAAGAGCCACAAUUUUACUGCACAGGUUUUUCUGCCAAGAGCCAGGCCAGGAACUCUGCAAGCCUAGGCGUGUGCUGGCUUUUCGGGGGCUGAUUGUCUGCGAGCUAGUGUCUCACUCACAGUGACCGGCAGAGGAAAAAUCAUUGGAUUCACUAGGUCGCACUUCAGACACCAAAACUCAGGGCACGGAGGAGGACACUAAAAGGAAGAAGGCAGAAGGUGGCAAUUAAAAUAUCUGGAUUAAAGCAGUAGCCUUUACUCAUGCCACACUGUAAUAGCAAUGCUUUUCUCAAAUGGACUGAGCCAAAUAUCAGGUUUAAAAAUGCUCCAGGCUGGUGGCUGCUCCUGCAGACUGUUCCACUGCUAUUAACCUGCCUCUUUAGUUCAGACCUGCUCUCCAGCCGUUGCUGCUAAGAAGCUUAAAUAAAUCCCAAUUGCCUGAAAGUGAAGCUUUUUGAACUACUUCGACGUCAGGCAGCAAGUUCAGAAGAGGUCCAGGUGGCCAGGAAAGAAAGACCCUGCGGAAUUCCCCUCUUGCUGGCCAUGGCCAGUGAGGCCAAAUGCUUUGCUAAAGCUGGUAAAAUGGAACCAAAUCAACUGUUCAAUGGAUUUGGUCCCCUUCAACCAGCUGUAGCUGUGCAUUGAUCUCUCAGACGCACCUUGGAGGAUAAAACACUUGAACGGGACAGAGACAACUCAGGUAGCAGAAGACAAAUGACCACGUGAACUCUGCUGAUAAGAAAAUUAUGAUGACUGGCAUCUGCAGAUCUAUCACUUGGGCUCUGAACUGGUGGGCUGAGCCCAAGUCAUUAUGUGGUUGCCAGUCAAUUCUGCCUAAGGGAGACCACUCGAGAUUGAUAAUCUCUAUCAUCCUCCAAUAUUGAUCUCAGCUGCUAUUCAGGACUGUGUAUUCCAACUGCAAAAGCUCUGCAUCCUCAUCUGUAUCUGCUCACGCCUGCCCAGGAGCCCCGUGCCUCAGUGUUUCAUCUGCUGCAACGAAGAAUAAAGGUUUUGAUCUGAA